GACAGAGGCCUCGAGCGUUAGGCGGAAUCACUGGGCUUAAAGCGUGUGUAGGCGGAUGCCUAAGUACCUUGUGAAAUCCCACGGCUCAACCGUGGAACUGCUGGGUAUACUGGGUGUCUUGAGCCAUCUAGGGGCAACUGGAACGAAUGGUGGAGCGGUGAAAUGCGUAGAUAUCAUUCGGAACGCCAAUGGUGAAAACAGGUUGCUGGGGAUGUGCUGACGCUGAGACACGAAAGCCAGGGGAGCAAACGGG
rnacentral:rRNA from 1 species